AUUGAACGCUGGCGGCGUGCCUAACACAUGCAAGUCGAGCGGUAACAGGUGUAGCAAUACAUGCUGACGAGCGGCGAACGGGUGAGUAAUGCUUCGGAAUCUACCCAAUGGUGGGAAUAACCAGCCGAAAGGUUGGCUAAUACCGCAUACGUCCCACGGGAGAAAGCAGGGGAUCGCAAGACCUUGCGCCAAUGGAUGAGCCGAAGUCGGAUUAGCUAGUUGGAGGGUAACGGCCUACCAAGCGACGAUCCGUAGCUGGUCUGAGAGGACGACCAGCCACACUGGGACUGAGACACGGCCCAGACUCCUACGGGAGGCAGCAGUGGGGAAUAUUGGACAAUGGGGGAAACCCGUCGAUCCAGCGACGCCGCGUGUGUGAAGAAGGCC
rnacentral:rRNA from 1 species